CUGGGAGGUCCUGAGCAUGCAGGGAUGAAGAAGGCCUAUCCUUACCUGGCAUGCAGUCCACUGAAGAAUAUGUACAAGCAUAACAAGGGUGCCAGGACAAGUUCCCCCAAGAAAGUGGUAUUUCAGGAGAGGCCUGGGUAAGAUUUUGACUGACAGAGACAAGGAGAAAAGUGGUGUUGAUCGUGGAGGAUUU